rnacentral:tRNA from 1 species
UUAACUGAAACCAAAUUAGAGGUAAUUUAUUGUUAAUAAAUUAAUUGAAUUAUUUAUUCCUGUUAAU